GAGGGGGGAGAGGUCCCUCAGCCGGGAUUGCGAGAGGGCGCAGGCCAGGCUGAGGGACCCGACACAUGCAUG
rnacentral:pre_miRNA from 1 species